rnacentral:lncRNA from 1 species
UUUUUUUUUGGUAUUUUUAGUAGAGAUGGAGUUUCACCUUGUUAGCCAGGAUGGUCUCGAUCUCCUGACCUCAUGAUCCAUCCACCUCCGCCUCCCAAAGUGCUGGGAUUACAGGCGAGAGCCACCGUGCCCGGCUGCCACCUAUUUUUAUACUACAUACGGCCGUGCUCCUAUCUGUCCUGGUGCUGGUGAUUUUAAGUUGAAGAUAGGUGCUAUGCUUGACUCCCAUAUAUCCUCAGCAUCUAACAGUUCCUUAUACUUAGAAAUCACUCAGCA